rnacentral:misc_RNA from 1 species
UCCCACUUACAUGGGCAGUUUGUUCCGAGUUCCCGACAUUACUCGCUGGCAACAGAACAUGAGGGUUGCGCUCGUUGCGGGACUUAACCCAACAUUUCACAACACGAGCUGACGACAGCCAUGCACCACCUGUGUAACACCUUCGAAAGCGGCUCCUUUUGGGGAGCUUGCAGUUACAUGUCAAGCCUGGGUAAGGUUCUUCGCGUUGCAUCGAAUUAAGCCAUAUGCUCCACCGCUUGUGCGGUCCCCCGCCAAUUCCUUUGAGUUUCAACCUUGCGGCCGUAGUCCCCAGGCGGAUCACUUAAUGCGUUAGCUGCGGCACCGAGGGAAACCCCCCGACACCUAGUGAUCAUCGUUUAGGGCCGAGACUAC